GACGAACGCUGGCGGCGUGCUUAACACAUGCAAGUCGAACGGAAAGGCCCUGCUUUUGUGGGGUGCUCGAGUGGCGAACGGGUGAGUAAAACGUGAGUAACCUGCACUUGACUUUGGGAUAACUCCUGGAAACUGGGGCUAAUACCGGAUAGGAGCUCCUGAUGCAUGGUGGGGGUUGGAAAGUUUCGGCGGUUGGGGCUGGACUCGCAGCUUAUCAGCUUGUUGGUCGGGUAGUGGCUUACAAAGGCUUUGACGGAUAGCCGGCCUGGGAGGGUAACCGGGCACAUGGGGACUGAGAUAGGGCCCAGAAUCCUACGGGAGGCAGCGGGGGAGAAUAUUGCGCAAUGGGCGGAAGCCAGAUGCAGCAACGCCGCGUGCGGGAUGACGUCCUACGGGUGGUAAACCGCUUUCGCCUGUGACGAAGCGUGAUUGACGGUAAUGGGUAAAAAAGCACCGGCUAACUACGUG
rnacentral:rRNA from 1 species